UCCUGACCCUAAACAGACAUUAAAUGGACUGAAACCAACACUUUGAAGCAGAUCCUGCACAGCUUCAUCAACAGGAUGAGAAGAAGGAGGAAGCAGUGACUUACACCUUGAAGAAAGUAUCAAACCACAUCUCCUAGUCGAUUGCAAGAACCCAGAUGACACAUUAAAUGGAGAGAAAUAAGAAAAUCCCCCUGACUCUUCUGCUUGCUCUGCUUCUAGUCUGUGCUGUCAGACCGGAUGACGGUUGCAAGGCACAACUGAAGAGUCUCACCUGCUACAAUGACUACAAUAGUAACAUCACUUGUGUGUGGGACAGCACAGAUGUGCC